GAUGAACGCUAGCGGCAGGCUUAACACAUGCAAGUCGAGGGGUAUAGUUCUUCGGAACUAGAGACCGGCGCACGGGUGCGUAACGCGUAUGCAAUCUACCUUUUACAGAGGGAUAGCCCAGAGAAAUUUGGAUUAAUACCUCAUAGUAUGUGAGAAUCGCAUGGUUUUCACAUUAAAGUUCCAACGGUAAAAGAUGAGCAUGCGUCCCAUUAGCUAGAUGGUAAGGUAACGGCUUACCAUGGCGACGAUGGGUAGGGGUCCUGAGAGGGAGAUCCCCCACACUGGUACUGAGACACGGACCAGACUCCUACGGGAGGCAGCAGUGAGGAAUAUUGGACAAUGGGCGCAAGCCUGAUCCAGCCAUGCCGCGUGCAGGAUGACGGUCCUAUGGAUUGUAAACUGCUUUUGUACAGGAAGAAACACUCCCUCGUGAGGGAGCUUGACGGUACUGUAAGAAUAAGGAUCGGCUAACUCCGUGCCAGCAGCC
rnacentral:rRNA from 1 species